ACCCCUCCGAUCCCUUACCCACCAGCUCUAAACAUUGGUCUGAUGGCAAUAAAGAGAAGUAAAACUGGCAUGGACUUGGAUUCUUCUGUGACAUAAAAAUUGGUUUCAAACAAAG
ensembl:snoRNA